GCACUGUUUGAGGCUGACUUAUCUGCCCUGUGUGCCAUGGAGACCAGAUGGAGAGCUGUGGACAGGCGUGUGUCCUGCUCUGGUUCCAUGUUGGUUCAAAUGCCCAUCUGCAAGGCAGAGGGGAUACACGAGAGGAGCAGCCUCCUGCCCUGCUUCCCUGUGCUGCUCUCUCCUGCACAGCGCUGCUCACCGUGUUGCUGGUCUGAAAAUGGUUUGCUUGGCC
rnacentral:lncRNA from 1 species